UACAGAGGUCCCAAGCGUUGUUCGGAUUCACUGGGCGUAAAGGGUGCGUAGGCGGUCGGGUAAGUCUGAUGUGAAAUCUCCAAGCUUAACUUGGAAAUGGCAUCGGAUACUAUUCGGCUCGAGGAAUGGAGGGGAGACUGGAAUACUUGGUGUAGCAGUGAAAUGCGUUGAGAUCCACAGGAACUCCGGUGGCGAAGGCGGCCCGCUGGACCCCACCUGACGCUGAGGAACGAAAGCUAGGGGAGCAAACAGG
rnacentral:rRNA from 1 species